UACAGAGGUCUCAAGCGUUGUUCGGAUUCAUUGGGCGUAAAGGGUGCGUAGGCGGCGAGGCAAGUCUGGUGUGAAAUCCCCGGGGCUCAACCCCGGAACUGCACUGGAUACUGCUUUGCUAGAGUACUGGAGAGGGAACUGGAAUUUACGGUGUAGCAGUGAAAUGCGUAGAUAUCGUAAGGAAGACCAGCGGCGAAGGCGAGUUCCUGGACAGUUACUGACGCUGAGGCACGAAGGCCAGGGGAGCAAACGGG
rnacentral:rRNA from 1 species